AACGCACAUUGCGCCCCUUGGUAUUCCGGGGGGCAUGCCUGUUCGAGCGUCAUUACAACCCUCAAGCUCUGCUUGGUCUUGGGCGUCACCGGUCCCCGGUGUGCCUUAAAAUCAGUGGCGGCGCCACCUGGCUCUAAGCGUAGUACAUCCUCUCGCUACAGACGCCCGGUGGAUGCUGGCCAGCAACCCCCCAUCUAUCAAGGUUGACCUCGGAUCAGGUAGGGAUACCCGCUGAACUUAA
rnacentral:misc_RNA from 1 species